rnacentral:rRNA from 1 species
GAACUCUUCGGAGUUAGUGGCGGACGGGUGAGUAACACGUGGGAACGUGCCUUUAGGUUCGGAAUAACUCAGGGAAACUUGUGCUAAUACCGAAUGUGCCCUUCGGGGGAAAGAUUUAUCGCCUUUAGAGCGGCCCGCGUCUGAUUAGCUAGUUGGUGAGGUAAAGGCUCACCAAGGCGACGAUCAGUAGCUGGUCUGAGAGGAUGAUCAGCCACAUUGGGACUGAGACACGGCCCAAACUCCUACGGGAGGCAGCAGUGGGGAAUCUUGCGCAAUGGGCGAAAGCCUGACGCAGCCAUGCCGCGUGAAUGAUGAAGGUCUUAGGAUUGUAAAAUUCUUUCACCGGGGACGAUAAUGACGGUACCCGGAGAAGAAGCCCCGGCUAACUUCGUGCCAGCAGCCGCGGUAAUACGAAGGGGGCUAGCGUUGCUCGGAAUUACUGGGCGUAAAGGGAGCGUAGGCGGACAUUUAAGUCAGGGGUGAAAUCCCGGGGCUCAACCUCGGAAUUGCCUUUGAUACUGGGUGUCUUGAGUAUGAGAGAGGUGUGUGGAACUCCGAGUGUAGAGGUGAAAUUCGUAGAUAUUCGGAAGAACACCAGUGGCGAAGGCGACACACUGGCUCAUUACUGACGCUGAGGCUCGAAAGCGUGGGGAGCAAACAGGAUUAGAUACCCUGGUAGUCCACGCCGUAAACGAUGAUUGCUAGUUGUCGGGAUGCAUGCAUUUCGGUGACGCAGCUAACGCAUUAAGCCAUCCGCCUGGGGAGUACGGUCGCAAGAUUAAAACUCAAAGGAAUUGACGGGGCCCGCACAAGCGGUGGAGCAUGUGGU